ensembl:snoRNA
AGCCUCGUAGUGCUUACUACAGGCUGUGUUCUUACACUGACAGCAUAGAAAGAGGAGUCAGAGGAAACCCACCCCACAAACAGCCUAGGCAGGCACUUUGCCUGAUCUGUAUGGUGAAUGGGGAGGACAUGG